rnacentral:rRNA from 1 species
GUGUCAGCAGCCGCGGUAAUACGUAGGGAGCAAGCGUUGUCCGGAUUCACUGGGUGUAAAGGGUGCGUAGGCGGGAGAAUAAGUCAGCGGUGAAAUCUUACGGCUCAACCGUGAAACUGCCGUUGAUACUGUUUUUCUUGAGUUCGGGAGAGGUUGAUGGAAUUCCAGGUGUAGCGGUGAAAUGCGUAGAUAUCUGGAAGAACACCAGUGGCGAAGGCGGUCAACUGGCCCGAAACUGACGCUGAGGCACGAAAGCGUGGGUAGCGAACAGGAUUAGAAACCCGCGUAGUCC